GACGAACGUUGGCGGCGUGCUUAAUACAUGCAAGUCAAAUGAAGCAGUGGUAGCAUUAUCGCUGUGGAGGUGGCGCACGGGUGAGUAACACGUAGGUAAUCCGCCUUCUGGUCUGGCAUAACCCCGGGAAACCGGGGCUAAUAGCAGAUGAUGCAGCGGCUCGACAUCGAGACAGUUGUUAAAGCUCUGGCGCUUGAAGAUGAGCCUGCGUCUGAUUAGCUAGUUGGCGGGGUAACGGUCCACCAAGCCAACGAUCAGUAGCUGGUCUGGGAGGAUGAUCAGCAAGACUAGAAGUGAGACACGGACCAGGAUACGACGGGAGGCAGCAGUAGAGAAAAUUGCGCAAUGGAAGGAAUCAUGAAGCAGCGACGCAGCGUGAAGGACGAAGGGCGGUAGCUUGUAAUCCUCGGUAGAAAGAGAAAAAAAUCCCGAUCAAGCGGACGUGACGGUAUCGGAAAAGGAAGCCCCGGCUAACUACGUG
rnacentral:rRNA from 1 species